UACAGAGGUCUCAAGCGUUGUUCGGAUUCAUUGGGCGUAAAGGGUGCGUAGGCGGCGCGGUAAGUCGGGUGUGAAAUCUUGGAGCUUAACUCCGAAACUGCAUUCGAUACUGCCGUGCUUGAGGACUGGAGAGGAGACUGGAAUUUACGGUGUAGCGGUGAAAUGCGUAGAUAUCGUAAGGAAGACCAGUGGCGAAGGCGGCUCACUGGACGACUGAUGACGCUGAGGUGCGAAAGCGUGGGGAGCAAACAGG
rnacentral:rRNA from 1 species